rnacentral:rRNA from 1 species
GACGAACGCUGGCGGCGUGCUUAACACAUGCAAGUCGAACGGUAAGGCGCUGUCCUUGUUGGUUGCUCGGGUGGCGUGGGGAUGAGUAACGUAACAGUUACCUACCCUUGCCUCUUGGUCAACAUCACGACACUGAAGCUUAUCUCGGAUAGGAGCUCCUGCUUCAUUGUGGUGGUUGGUCAGUUGCGGCGGUUGGGUCUGUGGUCGCUGGUUAUCAGCCCGUUGGUGGGGUAGUUGCUUACCAAGGCUUUGACGGGUAGCCGGCCUGAGAGGGUGACCGGCCACAUUGGGACUGAGAUGCGGCCCAGACGCCUACGGGAUGGAGCAGUGGGGGAUAUUGCACAAUGGGCGGAAGCCUGAUGCAGCAACGCCGCGUGCGGGAUGACGGCCUUCGGCUUGUAAACCGCUUUCGCCUGUGACGAAGCGUGAGUGACGGUAAUGGGUAAAGAAGCACCGGCUAACUACGUG